rnacentral:lncRNA from 1 species
UCUGUAAUAGAACCUAAUUGAGAUGUGUUGAGACUUGGGAGGAUUAAUCACAGGAGGAUGGAACUGAAUUAGGAGGAGGUGAGACUCGGAGAAUGAAAUGCAGCAGGGAUUUCGAGGAGAGGGAUUGGACUCAACACAGCAUUAUCUAGAAGGUUGGGUUAGCUGGAAUGAGACUCUGCUUUUGGCUUCAGGUAAACCGGCCUUGGCUGCAGGUUGCAGGUCUGGGCUCACAAAUACUCUGAAACAAAGGCACAGACACAUUUGUUCCACUUAGGCCAGCUACAACAGAAGGUUUCAUGAAAAAUCUGGUUAGAAUAAUCCCAAUCGUUGUUCCUCCUCUUUGCCU